rnacentral:rRNA from 1 species
GGUUAAGCGACUAAGCGUACACGGUGGAUGCCCUGGCAGUCAGAGGCGAUGAAGGACGUGCUAAUCUGCGAUAAGCGUCGGUGAGGUGAUAUGAACCGUUAUAACCGGCGAUUUCCGAAUGGGGAAACCCAGUGUGUUUCGACACACUAUCAUUAACUGAAUCCAUAGGUUAAUGAGGCGAACCGGGGGAACUGAAACAUCUAAGUACCCCGAGGAAAAGAAAUCAACCGAGAUUCCCCCAGUAGCGGCGAGCGAACGGGGAGGAGCCCAGAGCCUGAAUCAGUGUGUGUGUUAGUGGAAGCGUCUGGAAAGGCGUGCGAUACAGGGUGACAGCCCCGUACACAAAAAUGCACAUAUUGUGAGCUCGAUGAGUAGGGCGGGACACGUGGUAUCCUGUCUGAAUAUGGGGGGACCAUCCUCCAAGGCUAAAUACUCCUGACUGACCGAUAGUGAACCAGUACCGUGAGGGAAAGGCGAAAAGAACCCCGGCGAGGGGAGUGAAAAAGAACCUGAAACCGUGUACGUACAAGCAGUGGGAGCCUCUUAAUGGGGUGACUGCGUACCUUUUGUAUAAUGGGUCAGCGACUUAUAUUCUGUAGCAAGGUUAACCGAAUAGGGGAGCCGAAGGGAAACCGAGUCUUAACUGGGCGUUAAGUUGCAGGGUAUAGACCCGAAACCCGGUGAUCUAGCCAUGGGCAGGUUGAAGGUUGGGUAACACUAACUGGAGGACCGAACCGACUAAUGUUGAAAAAUUAGCGGAUGACUUGUGGCUGGGGGUGAAAGGCCAAUCAAACCGGGAGAUAGCUGGUUCUCCCCGAAAGCUAUUUAGGUAGCGCCUCGUGAAUUCAUCUCCGGGGGUAGAGCACUGUUUCGGCAAGGGGGUCAUCCCGACUUACCAACCCGAUGCAAACUGCGAAUACCGGAGAAUGUUAUCACGGGAGACACACGGCGGGUGCUAACGUCCGUCGUGAAGAGGGAAACAACCCAGACCGCCAGCUAAGGUCCCAAAGUCAUGGUUAAGUGGGAAACGAUGUGGGAAGGCCCAGACAGCCAGGAUGUUGGCUUAGAAGCAGCCAUCAUUUAAAGAAAGCGUAAUAGCUCACUGGUCGAGUCGGCCUGCGCGGAAGAUGUAACGGGGCUAAACCAUGCACCGAAGCUGCGGCAGCGACACUAUGUGUUGUUGGGUAGGGGAGCGUUCUGUAAGCCUGUGAAGGUGGCCUGUGAGGGUUGCUGGAGGUAUCAGAAGUGCGAAUGCUGACAUAAGUAACGAUAAAGCGGGUGAAAAGCCCGCUCGCCGGAAGACCAAGGGUUCCUGUCCAACGUUAAUCGGGGCAGGGUGAGUCGACCCCUAAGGCGAGGCCGAAAGGCGUAGUCGAUGGGAAACAGGUUAAUAUUCCUGUACUUGGUGUUACUGCGAAGGGGGGACGGAGAAGGCUAUGUUGGCCGGGCGACGGUUGUCCCGGUUUAAGCGUGUAGGCUGGUUUUCCAGGCAAAUCCGGAAAACCAAGGCUGAGGCGUGAUGACGAGGCACUACGGUGCUGAAGCGACAAAUGCCCUGCUUCCAGGAAAAGCCUCUAAGCAUCAGGUAACAUCAAAUCGUACCCCAAACCGACACAGGUGGUCAGGUAGAGAAUACCAAGGCGCUUGAGAGAACUCGGGUGAAGGAACUAGGCAAAAUGGUGCCGUAACUUCGGGAGAAGGCACGCUGAUAUGUAGGUGAAGCGACUUGCUCGUGGAGCUGAAAUCAGUCGAAGAUACCAGCUGGCUGCAACUGUUUAUUAAAAACACAGCACUGUGCAAACACGAAAGUGGACGUAUACGGUGUGACGCCUGCCCGGUGCCGGAAGGUUAAUUGAUGGGGUUAGCGGCAACGCGAAGCUCUUGAUCGAAGCCCCGGUAAACGGCGGCCGUAACUAUAACGGUCCUAAGGUAGCGAAAUUCCUUGUCGGGUAAGUUCCGACCUGCACGAAUGGCGUAAUGAUGGCCAGGCUGUCUCCACCCGAGACUCAGUGAAAUUGAACUCGCUGUGAAGAUGCAGUGUACCCGCGGCAAGACGGAAAGACCCCGUGAACCUUUACUAUAGCUUGACACUGAACAUUGAGCCUUGAUGUGUAGGAUAGGUGGGAGGCUUUGAAGUGUGGACGCCAGUCUGCAUGGAGCCGACCUUGAAAUACCACCCUUUAAUGUUUGAUGUUCUAACGUGGGCCCGUAAUCCGGGUUGCGGACAGUGUCUGGUGGGUAGUUUGACUGGGGCGGUCUCCUCCUAAAGAGUAACGGAGGAGCACGAAGGUUGGCUAAUCCUGGUCGGACAUCAGGAGGUUAGUGCAAUGGCAUAAGCCAGCUUGACUGCGAGCGUGACGGCGCGAGCAGGUGCGAAAGCAGGUCAUAGUGAUCCGGUGGUUCUGAAUGGAAGGGCCAUCGCUCAACGGAUAAAAGGUACUCCGGGGAUAACAGGCUGAUACCGCCCAAGAGUUCAUAUCGACGGCGGUGUUUGGCACCUCGAUGUCGGCUCAUCACAUCCUGGGGCUGAAGUAGGUCCCAAGGGUAUGGCUGUUCGCCAUUUAAAGUGGUACGCGAGCUGGGUUUAGAACGUCGUGAGACAGUUCGGUCCCUAUCUGCCGUGGGCGCUGGAGAACUGAGGGGGGCUGCUCCUAGUACGAGAGGACCGGAGUGGACGCAUCACUGGUGUUCGGGUUGUCAUGCCAAUGGCACUGCCCGGUAGCUAAAUGCGGAAGAGAUAAGUGCUGAAAGCAUCUAAGCACGAAACUUGCCCCGAGAUGAGUUCUCCCUGACUCCUUGAGAGUCCUGAAGGAACGUUGAAGACGACGACGUUGAUAGGCCGGGUGUGUAAGCGCAGCGAUGCGUUGAGCUAACCGGUACUAAUGAACCGUGAGGCUUAACCUU